rnacentral:rRNA from 1 species
AUUGAACGCUGGCGGCAGGCCUAACACAUGCAAGUCGAGCGGAUGAAGGGAGCUUGCUCCUGGAUUCAGCGGCGGACGGGUGAGUAAUGCCUAGGAAUCUUCCUGGUAGUGGGGGAUAACGUCCGGAAACGGGCGCUAAUACCGCAUACGUCCUGAGGGAGAAAGUGGGGGAUCUUCGGACCUCACGCUAUCAGAUGAGCCUAGGUCGGAUUAGCUAGUUGGUGGGGUAAAGGCCUACCAAGGCGACGAUCCGUAACUGGUCUGAGAGGAUGAUCAGUCACACUGGAACUGAGACACGGUCCAGACUCCUACGGGAGGCAGCAGUGGGGAAUAUUGGACAAUGGGCGAAAGCCUGAUCAAGCCAUGCCGCGUGUGUGAAGAAGGUCUUCGGAUUGUAAAGCACUUUAAGUUGGGAGGAAGGGCAGUAAGUUAAUACCUUGCUGUUUUGACGUUACCAACAGAAUAAGCACCGGCUAACUUCGUG